GGUUGUUCAGCCUCCAGCAUAAGGCAGAUCUAUCCAAACACUGCAUGCCUCUGAGUGUUAUCUGAGAGCCCCCCUUCUGACUGUGCAGUGUUGGGUGGGGGGCUGGGCUUCUCCUUUCCCCUAAGCCAAUCUGUCAUCCUCAGGGUUGGACACUUUGUCCCUUGUAUCUUGCCACCAUACAGUUGUUUCCUUUUUUCUCUCUUAUCUCAGGCCUAGAAACGCUGCUACUUCAGUGACCCUAGAAACAACGAACAACCUAUUCUUACGUGGUUCUUUCUCAGCUCUGGUCAUCUUGGAAGGCUGUGGCAAUCUAGAAUUUGCAUUAUCUUUAGUGCGUUGGGUAGAGAAGGAAGGGCAAUAGAGACUGUUUAAAAAAAAUGGAAGGCACAGGGCAGAGAAAUAACUCUAUGAGAAUUCUACAAACAUUCUGUAGAAAGGGGGCUUUCAGAAAUAGUAAAGUGUAUACCAAGUGUUUUCGUUUUCUUUUUUUUUUUCUUCUCCUUUUUUUAUUGGAUGUUAUAUUUAUUUACAUUUCAAAUGUUAUCCCCUUUCCUGGUUUCCCCUUUGAAAAUCCCUAUCCCAUCUUCCCUCCCCUGCUUCUAUGAGGGUGCUCCCCAAUCCACCCACUCCCACCUCACCACCCUGACAUUCCCUACACUGGGGCAUCGAGCCUUCACAGGACCAACAGCCUCUCCUCCCAUGGAUGCCAGAUAAGGCCAUCCUCUGCUACAUAUGCAGCUGGAGCCAUGGUUCUCUCCAUGUAUACUCUGGUUGGUGGUUUAGUCCCUGGGAGCUCUGGGGGUUCUGAUUGGUUGAUAUUGUUGUUUUUUUCUAUGGGGUUGCAAAUGCCUUCAGCUCCUUCAGUCCUUCCCCUAACUCCUCCAUUGGGGUCCCUGAGCUCAGUCUGAUGUUUGGCUGCGAGCAUCCGCAUCUGUAUUUGUCAGGCUCUGGCAGAGACUCUCAGGAGACAGCUGUAUCAGACAAGUGUUGUCUGUUAACUGCAGAUUCAACCUUCAGUUGCACAAGUGGUUGGAAGUCAUGAAUUCUGGCAGCCAAAUUCAGAUUUUGUAUUUAAAUUAGAAAAAGCAUGUGACAUUUGAGUUGGCUGGUUUUUAUUAGCAUACAGUCCCAUAGUAAUUAGGGAUUAAAAAUUAAACUCCUAUGUGUAUGUAUGUAUGUAUAUAUGAAUGUAUGUAUGUACAUCUAUAUACACAUACAUAUAUAUGUAUAUAUAAACUAUAUACUAUAUACAUAUAUACAAAUGAAUGGUGUAAAGUUGUUUCAUAAAAAUCCACGCAGGACAACAAACUUUUGGAAAGCAUACCAUAAGUAAUUGUGCAGGUGUGUUUUCCACUCCUAUGUGUUUAUUUGCAGAAGCCAGUGCAAAUGGAUUCCACAUGUGCACAGACAAAAUGACUGAGUUCCAAGUGUGGACCCUGGACUGGCAGUGUCAGUAGAAUCUGAUAAUGAUUAAAAUGGAGAUUCUUGAUUUUUUUUUCCACACACACACAUAUUCGGUCAGAAACCCAGGGCUGAGACAAAGCUGUCAGUUCCCAACAACCCUCCAGGUGAUUCUGACCCAUCUUGAGGUUUGAGAACUCCUGGCAGAAUAGGAUGUGAACUUAGCAGUAGUAAGGCAACUGUGUAGUAAAUCCCGUGGAAGGCAAGAAAGGCAUCUCUGAAACAAAGGAGCAGACAUUCGGAGUGAGAAGCAGCCUGCUUGUCCUCUGCUCUGGCUUGGCGUUUCCCCUCCUCUCUCCACAACAUUCCAUGCACAAGAGGUCUCUUCUGCUCAUACCAGAUGGAGGUGGUCUUGCUUUGGAGACACCUGUGGCUCAGAAGUCAUUUAAGCCUACUUUUUAAAAGUAAUUAAUAUUAGCUCUCUUAAUUAAUCAAGUUAAUUAUCAGUCUUGUAUUUUUUCUCAUGUAUCUAUAAGUAUCAACAGGUGUACACAACCACACAUCCCUGUGCAUCCUUCUCAAAGGCAGCACAUAGGGAGCAGACCACUGGGUCAUCUGUUUUCCACUCAUGCACUAUGGUGCCAUCUUACUUUAGAUUCUUCACGUGGCUUCAUUGUAGAAGUUACAUUUGAUUCUUCCUCCCGGCCCCAUGGUCCCCAUGUUCUCAGACUCAAAAUAUAUUUACAAAUACCUUGGCCAUAAAGCUAGGCUUUUACCUGACUAGAUCAUAACUUGAUAUAACCCAUGCAUUCUGAUCGACAUUCUCCCACGUGAUGGUUACCUGUGCUCAGGUACCACGCAUUGACCUUGUCACAUCUUCCCGGGUAAAUCUCUGAGACUGUCUCUAUCCUAGAAUUCUUUCUGCCUCCUGGCUGGAUAUCCCAUCUUCUAUUCUAUUCUUUCUUUUAGGACAUAAGUUUUUUUUUUUUUUUUUGAUUGGUAGGUGAUGCAUCCAUACAAUAAACAAUAUAUUCUCUCUAUACUUUAUUAGUUGAGAUGACCGAUUUGUUUUCUGAGUUUUGUCUGUCUGGAACUCUCAGGUAAGUGCACCUGUGUUGACGGUGACAACAGAAUGUUGUCUGGCAUAUAAUAGUGUGUGCUGACUGAUGAUUUUCUCUUCUGAUAUCCACUCUUAAAUGCAAAGAGACAGGCUUCAUGCCAAUAUCACGUUACCGACACAUGCAAAGAGACCAAAAGGCACCUGCAGUCACAGGAAGCAUUCGCUUAAUAGCUUCUUUCCCUCCUUUUCUUUCUAUUACCUCAUUCUCGUGGCUCCCAGCUCCUAAUUCUUUGAAUUGAAUCUGAACAUAGCAAUUGUGAUAGAAUGUAAGAGUUUGAUAUUGACAGUGAGAAGCGAAGUGGAAUGGCAGUGGUCUCUGUAUUUUGAUUCCAUGCGAAUCAUUGAUUUUGUGGGCAAUGCUUGGUUGUGACCUAUGAAGGAGCUACCUGAUACUAAGAUAUAUGCUGAACAAUUAAAAUUUGUAGCAGACUAUGGGUUUAACACCCAUCCUGAAACAUUUAGUUCUUAUGUGUUUUGGAAACUAGUUCCUCUCAUUCCCCAGAUCAUGAAGGGUAGCACAAAAGAAUAGAUCCUUAGGACACCUUCUGGCUGUUUGAUAUAGUACUCUAUAAAAGGCAUUACUCUAUUGCUCC
rnacentral:lncRNA from 1 species